GCUACUUUGGCAGAAGAUAUGUGUUGGAUUUAGGAUCCUAUAAAAUAGAAUUAAUCUAUA
rnacentral:tRNA from 1 species